rnacentral:rRNA from 1 species
GCAAGUCGAACGAUGAUCCCCAGCUUGCUGGGGGGAUUAGUGGCGAACGGGUGAGUAACACGUGAGUAACCUGCCCUUAACUCUGGGAUAAGCCUGGGAAACUGGGUCUAAUACCGGAUAUGACUCCUCAUCGCAUGGUGGGGGGUGGAAAGCUUUAUUGUGGUUUUGGAUGGACUCGCGGCCUAUCAGCUUGUUGGUGAGGUAAUGGCUUACCAAGGCGACGACGGGUAGCCGGCCUGAGAGGGUGACCGGCCACACUGGGACUGAGACACGGCCCAGACUCCUACGGGAGGCAGCAGUGGGGAAUAUUGCACAAUGGGCGCAAGCCUGAUGCAGCGACGCCGCGUGAGGGAUGACGGCCUUCGGGUUGUAAACCUCUUUCAGUAGGGAAGAAGCGAAAGUGACGGUACCUGCAGAAGAAGCGCCGG